GGGCCUGUAGCUCAGUGGUAGAGCACUGCUAUGGCAUGGCAGGGGUCAGGGGUUCAAAUCCCCUCAGGUCCA
rnacentral:tRNA from 1 species